rnacentral:lncRNA from 1 species
CCAUGUCUUGGCUAUUGUAAAUAAUGCUGCAAUAAACAUUGGGGUGCAUAGGACUUUGGGAAUUCCUGACUUCAAGCUCUUUGAAGAGAUACCCAGUAGUGGGAUGGCUGGGUCAUAUGGCAGUUCACCAUUCCCUUUCCUCUUAGAUUACUGACAACAAUCUUAUUGAGAAAAAAUGGAAUUAAGAUUAUUAUCAGUGUGCUCAUUAUAUUUUUUAAAAAUAAGUCUAUCAAAUCUUUGUCUAGGAUUAACUUUUAUUAAUUGAUUUGCAUUCAAGUGAUUAGGAUGAUUACAACUAAUUAUCCAGUCAACUCUUAAAAUUUUAAUAACAUCCCUCUCUUUGGGCAUGCUUGGAAAAUCUGUCCCUGAAUCAAUAUUACAAAAUAUCUACAUAAUUUUCACCACAGAACUUCUACAAAUAAUUAUUCAUUCCAUUUUGACUAUUACAGCUUAGCCUAAAGAAUUAAGUAAAUAUGUAUUACUUCACUCCUGCACACCCUUUAAACGCAGCUAACAGACACUGAAUAAACCGGCUCAUCCCCCGCGGGAUCAGGAGUUGCUUGCCCCGUAUGCUGUCGCCAGGCUGCAGCCGCCUGAGGGGACUCGUCCGGGGCCCCGCCCUCAGAGCUCACACCCGCCGUGCGCUCUCGCCCCGGGGCCGCCCCGCCGACCUCCCGCGCGGCUCUGCGCGCACAGGCCGGACGCUCGGAGCCGGCGCCGGGCCGCCCUGCUCGGCCUCCUGGGCGCAGCGGCGCCUCUGGACCGAGCACGCGCACCAGCGGCCUCCGCUCAGGCUCCGUGCCCGCGCACGCGCCCUCGCGUCGCGCUCCUGGCUGAGAGACCUGCGCUCGGGCUGGGCUCCGGGCGGUUCUCGCGUUGUCGUUCCACCGGGACUUCCGCGCUUCGGUGGCCUUUCGGACGAGCCGCCGCGCCCAGAGAUGUUCAGGUUGGAGCGACACUUCCCAGACGGCAGCGGUCACGCCAGCUCUUUGGCUUCCAUUCCGUUUUCGCGCGGUUCUCCCUCUUCGCAAGUGAUGUCAUUCUGACUGCAGUCACCACUGUCGGGUUGUGAUUAAACUCUGAUGACCUAUGAGAGCACCGUGAUGUCAGUUUUUCUGGAAUUGGAAUAUUGAGUACUUCCUGACCCAGUUCUAUGUCUUUUCUAACCUGUUCAACCUCACCUGACCCCAAGGCCAUGAGGUAAGGUGUGGCUGGAUGGCGUGGCUCCUUUUCAGUCCUGGAAGGUGUGAAUGGAGGGAGGAGGACCUGUUCAGGGCAGCGCUGACCAGCCUAGCCUCACGUGCAGAGCUGCUUCCCCAAAGUGGAGGACAGGCCAGAAAACUGUCUGCUGAAUUGUUUGGGUUUCCUGGGGGUUAGGGAAAGAGUUUGGGUUUAUCUACAAUCCUUCUAAUCUUUUCAUAUUGUUGUGUUUGUUUGGUUAGCGGUAUUAUGCAAAAUGGAAUGGAGGAGCCAAAUGUUACUUCCUUUCAUGGUAACCCUGAAUUAUGCUUGCUCUCAUGGUCUCUUUUUCCUUACCCAGCUCUAGAUUCCCUUUGUUCUUUCCCAGUAGAGGAAUCCCAAGGAGGACUGAUCAGUUUUGGCAGGUGCAAAACCAUGGUAUGUGUAAGUUAGUGUUUCCUUCUCGUUAAAAUAGUGAGACGUAAAUGUUUUCAUUAAUUGUUCUGAAGAGUCCUACCCAAAGAACCCCAUGUGAUUAUGUGCUUCCCAGUUCCUCCCAUUCCAGUGAACUGAACAAUGGUUCCAAAUAACCUAGUCCUCCUUAUGUGGCCCAGUCUUUUCCAGCCAGUGUUUAUGCAUUCACUGACCAGGUUAUUCUCUCCUACGUGCUCAACUUAGUCAUAUUAAGAGCUAUAAUGGAGGAAUGAAGAAAUUAAGUCCUGUCAAGAAAUGAUUUGAGCUUCCCGUGUCAGGACUGUAGUUGGAUGAGAGAUGGAGAUCCCAUCUGGCCAAGCAGGGAAAGACCCUGACAUUCUCACAGACAUGAGUUUUCUAGAUACACAUGAUAAAACCCAGCAAUGAACGGUCUCUGGAGGCUAAGAUCCAAUGCACUGUGAGGUUUUUGGAAUUGAAUAGCAAUAUGAUUUAGGACUUGAAAAUAUAUGGAUCAUGGUCCUUUGUAAGGGAUUCCUGAAUGAGAAAUAUGACUAUUUUAUUGCUGACUGGGUUGCGAUGAAAUUGAAUGACUUUGAUAUAAUUCUGGAUCAUCCUACAUUAGUAUCCUCUAACUCAUGAACCAGAAAAGUUCUCAGUGAGGGAUUGUUAGUGUCCAUAAAAGAGAAUAAAAUCAUAAGUCUUAAAUUAACAGAGAGCAAGAAUAGAAAAGACCUUAGAUAUGUUGUCUAACAAUGUAUAUAAUCAUAAUCAUCUAAACAUGUUUAAUUCUAUUAUAACCAUAAAUUAGAGUGCUAUGCAGCCAUUCAAAAUAUUAGUCAAAAUAAGGAAACUACAUAUGAUAGCAUUUAACAAAGAAUUUCAGUAUUUAAGAUAUUCUUUCGUUCUUUUUUAUAUGCUGUUUUUCUAUCUGUUAUGACAAACUCUAAGUUUCAAUUGGAGAAUUUUAUCCUUUUACAUUUAACGUAAUUAUUGACAGUUAGUUUAGGUCAUCCAUUUUACUGUAUGUUUUCUUUUUUUCCAUUUGGCUUUUGUUCCCCUUUCUCUUUUUUUCUUCUUUGGGGUUAAUAAUAAUUAUUUAAAAUUCCAUUUUAACUUGAUUUUCUAUAUGUGC